rnacentral:rRNA from 1 species
GAUGAACGCUGGCGGCGUGCCUAAUACAUGCGAGUCGAGCGAACAGACGAGGAGCUUGCUCCUCUGACGUUAGCGGCGGACGGGUGAGUAACACGUGGAUAACCUACCUAUAAGACUGGGAUAACUUCGGGAAACCGGAGCUAAUACCGGAUAAUAUAUUGAACCGCAUGGUUCAAUAGUGAAAGACGGUUUUGCUGUCACUUAUAGAUGGAUCUGCGCCGCAUUAGCUAGUUGGUAAGGUAACGGCUUACCAAGGCAACGAUGCGUAGCCGACCUGAGAGGGUGAUCGGCCACACUGGAACUGAGACACGGUCCAGACUCCUACGGGAGGCAGCAGUAGGGAAUCUUCCGCAAUGGGCGAAAGCCUGACGGAGCAACGCCGCGUGAGUGAUGAAGGUCUUCGGAUCGUAAAACUCUGUUAUUAGGGAAGAACAAAUGUGUAAGUAACUAUGCACGUCUUGACGGUACCUAAUCAGAAAGCCACGGCUAACUACGUG